rnacentral:rRNA from 1 species
CUUGCUGUUUUGCUGACGAGUGGCGGACGGGUGAGUAAUGUCUGGGAAACUGCCUGAUGGAGGGGGAUAACUACUGGAAACGGUAGCUAAUACCGCAUAACGUCGCAAGACCAAAGAGGGGGACCUUCGGGCCUCUUGCCAUCGGAUGUGCCCAGAUGGGAUUAGCUAGUAGGUGGGGUAAAGGCUCACCUAGGCGACGAUCCCUAGCUGGUCUGAGAGGAUGACCAGCCACACUGGAACUGAGACACGGUCCAGACUCCUACGGGAGGCAGCAGUGGGGAAUAUUGCACAAUGGGCGCAAGCCUGAUGCAGCCAUGCCGCGUGUAUGAAGAAGGCCUUCGGGUUGUAAAGUACUUUCAGCGGGGAGGAAGGGAGUAAAGUUAAUACCUUUGCUCAUUGACGUUACCCGCAGAAGAAGCACCGGCUAACUCCGUGCCAGCAGCCGCGGUAAUACGGAGGGUGCAAGCGUUAAUCGGAAUUACUGGGCGUAAAGCGCACGCAGGCGGUUUGUUAAGUCAGAUGUGAAAUCCCCGGGCUCAACCUGGGAACUGCAUCUGAUACUGGCAAGCUUGAGUCUCGUAGAGGGGGGUAGAAUUCCAGGUGUAGCGGUGAAAUGCGUAGAGAUCUGGAGGAAUACCGGUGGCGAA